UAUAGUGAGCAAUGGUCACUGUCAUAACCAAGGCCAUUUGUAUUGUAAAUCUUUCCAAGGAUAAUCUUACAAACAUGCCACAUCUGAACACUGGUAUAGGGCAAUUUCCUACCACUUCAGCACUGUGCUUUCCCCAGUGGGAACGUCAAAUGGUUAAUGGGCAGUAAUCAGAAAAUGAUUUCGAAUUGAAAUCAGUGUCAGUAUUUCAUUAUAGCUGUUUCAAGGUUUGGUCGUGAAACAGAAGGAGACUGAUUUCUAAAAUGAGGAGGAAAUGAACUCUGUUUACUUCUAUUUUCAGAAGAUUUUUGUUUCUGAAAUUAUUUUUAGUGUUGGUAAAUUAUGCUAAUUGAGACAACAAAAAAAUAAUAUAUUUGGAACUGUGGGAACACAUUUUGCUAAUGGAUAAUUACUUGUUAAACAAGUUUAAAAUUAGACUUAUGUCUUUUAAUAUUGUUUGUUUAUUUAGUAGGAGAAAACCACCCUUAAGGCCAAGCUGAGCAGAGAGAAGGACUCAGUAUCUACCAAUGCUCAUUGAUACUCAUGAAGCAAGGUGGUGGUCCUCAAGGAUUCUUACAUCCGGCUGAGGAUGCGAAGAGAAUUGGCCAGAUCCCUCAGCCACAAUCAGGCCUGGCACUUCCAGGGGCUACAGCAUUCUGCUGAGUAUAACUUCACAGAUCACUUGUACCUGGUAGCGCCUCUUCAGGACCCUGAAUAACUGGACCUGCUAGAUAAGUAAGUGGCACCUGAACAGGGACCUGAAGCACGCCAACUACUGGACAACGGAGACAGGAGAUCCGUGGAAAAACUGAGGACUCUUUAGGCCGCAUUGCUCAUGCGUCGCUGGAGAGGGAGAUCAUGCUGACCAUGUUUCCCUUCAUCUGGAUCCCUGGAAGCAUCAUCACGUCUGCCCUUGCUACAUCGCCUCACCAGAUCUUCAACUAUACCUGGGUGAUUCUUAAUGGCACCAGAGAUGUGGUGUCUGCCAACUCCACCACCGCUGCACAAGUUGCCUGGCCCAAUCUUGAGUUCCUGCAGUUCUGGGAAAGAGGCACCUCCACGUGUACAAAGAGAGAACCCAUCACUGCCGUGACUCUUGCAGUACUCCUAGGCCUGUCAGCUGUGGGGACAGGAACUGGGGUUGCCUCCCUGAUCACCUCCCAACAGAGUUAUUAGCUCAGUGCCACCAUAGACAGGGACAUCAGUGAGCUAUAACAAGGAAUAACCUAUCUUAAAGACUCAGUUGCUUCCUUGGCUAAGGUUGUUCUACAAAAUAGAAGGGGAUUAGAUCUUCUCUUUCUCCAACAGGGAGGGCUCUGUGUGACCCUCAAGGAGUGUUGCUUUUUUUUAUGAAAGUUUACAAAAGAGACAAAGAGAAAGAGAAAAGAGUGAAGCCUGGUAUAAAAACUGGUUUUCUGCCUCUCCCCUGCUCACCACUCUUCUACCCAGUAUCCUGGGUCCCUUUAUAGGACUCCUGCUACUCGUCUCCUUUGGUCCAUGGGUGCUUAGAAAGUUAACUGAUUUUAUCAAGGCCCAGGUAGAUUCACCUACCAAGCAGGUCUCAGUCCAUUACCACCGCCUCCAUUGUGAGGAGGCUGAGACAACCGGGGGGUGUGAUACUCCCCUUGAGUCACCCACAGCUGGCCUCGACUUCUCCACCCUAAAUACAGUCUGUAACUCAGGCUGGAAAAUCAGUUGCUGGUAGAAGUGUCAAUGACAGGAAUAAUAUAGUGCCACAUACCAGGCACACACCUCACCGCUGUGAAGUAACCCUACGAUGGGAUUAGCACAGGUCCAUGAUCUGGGUUGCCCACUCUCACAAAACACACACGUAUAGCCCGGAACAGUGUGUUAAAGCAUAAGAUCGUUCCUAGCCAUUGGGGUGCAGUCCUAAGUGCAAGAGUGGCUCGCCAUGGCCAAGCUGGGCACUCUGUGAGGCAUGUCUGAUCUCUCUCAGACCACUACUUCCACCCUGGUGGAAAUAAUGGAAAUUAAGUGAGAGUGCCAGACGUGAGGGCAACCUGUGUAGCCUAAGACACGGGGCUUCAUCGACCAGGUGCUGGUUGUGGAUGCACACCAUAUAGACAGAACUUCCUCCCACUGAUAGUUAAGGAAAGGUGGAGAUGUCGGGGACCGGACGUCUGAACUAAGCAAAGCUAGAGCCCUGCCCUGAGCAGAUCCCUGAGAAGGGCUUGACCUUUUCAAAGAAUAUGUCCCCGGAAGACUGUUGCCUCUUUGUCUAAGGAGGAUAUCUUGCAGUUUAAUGAUUCACCUUAUGUCCUUGGGCACUUCCCAGUGCCCACCACCACCACCACCACCACCACCACCACCACCACCACCACCCCGCCGCCCUAAGCUUCAGUUCCUGCUUCAAUUCCUGCUUCAGAGCUCUAAAUGCUGUACAUUCCUCUCAAUAAACAAGACCUUGACAACAGAA